rnacentral:rRNA from 1 species
UACGAAGGGGGCUAGCGUUGCUCGGAAUGACUGGGCGUAAAGGGCGCGUAGGCGGAUGGCACAGUCAGAUGUGAAAUUCCCGGGCUUAACCUGGGGGCUGCAUUUGAUACGUGUGAUCUAGAGUGAGGAAGAGGGUCGUGGAAUUCCCAGUGUAGAGGUGAAAUUCGUAGAUAUCAGGAAGAACACCCGUGGCGAAGGCGGCUCUCUGGGACGGUACUGACGCUGAGACGCGAAAGCGUGGGGAGCGAACAGG